rnacentral:rRNA from 1 species
CGUCUGCUGUGAAAAUCUGAGGCUCAACCUCGGACUUGCAGUGGGUACGGGCAGACUAGAGUGCGGUAGGGGAGAAGGGAAUUCCUGGUGUAGCGGUGGAAUGCGCAGAUAUCAGGAGGAACUCCAAUGGCGAAGGCACUUCUCUGGUCCGUAACUGACGCUGAGGAGCGAAAGCGUGGGGAUCGAACAGGAUUAGAUACCAUGGUAGUCCACUCCGUAAACGUUGGGCGCUAGAUGUGGGUCACAUUCCACGUGAUCCGUGUUGCAGCUAACGCAUUAUGCGCCUCGCCUGGGGAGUACGGCCGCAAGGCUAAAACUCAAAGGAAUUGACGGGGGCCCGCACAAGCGGCGGAGCAUGCGGAUUAAUUCGAUGCAACGCGAAGAACCUUACCAAGGCUUGACAUAUACAGGAAAACUGCAGAAAUGUAGUCCCCCGCAAGGGUCUGUAUACAGGUGGUGCAUGGUUGUCGUCAGCUCGUGUCGUGAGAUGUUGGGUUAAGUCCCGCAACGAGCGCAACCCUCGUCCUAUGUUGCCAGCACGUUAUGGUGGGAACUCAUGGGAGACUGCCGGGGUCAACUCGGAGGAAGGUGGGGAUGACGUCAAAUCAUCAUGCCCCUUAUGUCUUGGGCUUCACGCAUGCUACAAUGGCCGGUACAAAGGGCUGCAAUACCGCAAGGUGGAGCGAAUCCCAAAAAGCCGGUCUCAGUUCGGAUUGAGGUCUGCAACUCGACCUCAUGAAGUCGGAGUCGCUAGUAAUCGCAGAUCAGCAACGCUGCGGUGAAUACGUCCCCGGGCCUUGUACACACCGCCUGUCAAGUCACGAAAGUCGGUAACACCUGAAGCCGGUGGCCUAUCUGUAAGGAAGGACCCGUUUAAGGUGGGAUUGGUGAUUGGGACUAAGUCGUAACAAGGUA